AUCACAGUGAGACCUCUGACUACUGUGUGGAAAGAGGUGCUGUUUCUCCUGCCCACUAUCACCCUGGAAACCCUGAGAAGGGGUAGGCAAAUCAAAGGCAAGAAACUUGAGGAUCUUCUGACAUUCUCGGUUAAGUGGCUGCAGAACAGAAUCUGAUGUUCUAGACAGAAUCAAAGAAUGUCAGACCUGGAAAUGUCAAAGGCCAUGACAUCUGAGUCCUCAUUUGAUAGAUGGGGACACUGAAACUCACCAAGGCAGGUGACUUGUCUGACACUACCCAGAGCCUGGAGAGAAACAGGGCCCUCAUACUACUUGCUGAUUUCUCCAAGGAUUGACUUCAUGAUGCUGAUAAUGACCAAGAGAGGAGGAGAGGGGAGGAAGGGCCCUUAAUCUUAGCCUUAUGUAGUAGGAACUGGAAACUUUCUCCACGGGUAGGUACCCUAAUUUGGUGAGUUUUCUCCAAGUUCCUGGACUGCUCCCAGUAGCAGACUCUCAGCUUCUGAUCGAUAAUUAUCUUCUCUCCCUCGCAUUCCAGAGGUGAUCCUAGUGACUCUACUAAACAAAGCUCUUGGGCAAUGCCAGCUGGCUAGAUGCAUGCCCUCUAUCUGGUCCCUUUCUCUGAUAGCAGAUGUAGACCUGCUUGAAUUUUCUCCUGGAUCUCAACAGAAACCUCAAAACUGGUCAUUGCUCCCAGAAAACCUUCCUACCAGGAAACUUGCACAUAGCCGGCCAUGCCGCGGAGACAAAGAAGGAGCCAAGAGAAACCAAAAAGAGUGUGGUUUUGAUAUACAGGAUUUUAUUCCUGACAUUAGUCAAGUAAUCGUGGGCCAGCAAAUUUUCAAAGCAGUCUUAAAAAAAUAAUCCUUUCCCUUGCUUCCCAGACACUGUGCAGAAAAAGAAUGAUGAAAUAUAACCUUUUCAAAGCUCCUUUUAUCUGAGUCCUUUUAGUAACUCCAUGGACUCAGCUCCAGAGUCUAAAGACUAAAUCUUAAAAGAUUAUUGUGUGGGAAAAUUAUUGUGCGAUGUAGUAAAAAAUCACACUGAGUCUAAAGUCGGAAAAGUGAUGAUGUGAUGAUCCUGUCUGUCAGGUCUACGACCCUGGGCAAGGCAUUUUGCUUUCAGGCCCUGCUUUCUCAGAAAAACUGGAGUAAUACUCAUACUUGUCCCUUCGAACCUUGCUGUGCUGUUCAGAGGAUCAGUGCAGGGAGUUUAAAAACAUUUGGAUACUAUUGUUUCAUUAAUUAUAGUUUUAGUACUAGUUUUCAACAGCAUUAGGCUGCUGCACAAAAUGAAAUGGGUAUCAAAUGUAUAUGCACAUUUCUGAAUGGAUUGGGAAAAGAAGAUAGAAGGAGCAAAAAAAAAAAAAAAAGAAAAAAGUCAUUCUUUUCCUGGAAAGCUCUGUUGUUUAAUCCUUUUCUUGGAGUAAAAAAAAUUCCAGCUCUACUGUAGGGAACAUAACACAGCUUCUCUUUGAUGUCACCACUCACCCCAUGGCCAGUAUCACUUCUCGUUCCCCCCCACCCCCAGAUUCAAAACCCUUAUGUUUGGGCUUCUCUGGUGAUCACGUUAAAUGUUUAAAUCUCCCGCGAAUAUAUAUUAUAGUCUAAACAACCAAAAAGAAGACAGAGGGGAAGGAAGAGGAGAGAGAGGAGAAAGACAGCGAUAUUGUUGAAUGCUUUGAAAGGAGGAUGGUUAAUGAGACUUACACUUUAGUUUGGAGCCAAAUCAUUUUCUUCAAAGAGAGAAGGUCACAGCAACUCCUGACAGGAGCGAGCAGGAGCAGAAACCUGAGCUCUGCUCUCCAGCUGGUGGUGUUACCACCCAUUCGUGGUUCCUGAGAGAGAACAGGGAGGUGAGCCAGGCCUUAACACCCUGUGUUGCAUUGACAAGCAUGGACCUGGCCUUUCAGGUACAGUCCUUCUAGGGAUGGGCCUCUCUUGACGGUCUUGGUUUCCGCCUUGAAGCCAGGGUGAGUCCUGGGAAGACUCUAAACCCUUCUUGAUCUACGCAGACCAAGCUUCCAUGCCUACCAGCACUGGACUGAGCCACUUCUUCAUCCAGCCAGCAAAUCAAUGCAAACCCAAGGUGAGUCAUGGUGAUCCGAAAAAUGAGGUGGGGGCGGGGGGGCACAGGGUUGGGUCAAAAGCCUGAGAGUUAGGGCAGGAUCCCUCUGUAGUAUCUCCUUUACCACGCCGCUCUUUAACUCCUGAGUCACCCUCCACACCCCAGGUGCCAACCAGUACUCAGCUGCCUUACCUAAUCUGGACAGAUGCUGCAAAUGCUGCCUCCAGUGGCUAUGUCAAUUCGACCCAGUGUCUUCCUGGUUGCAUGUCAGAUCUUCUCAUGCACCUUUUUUCAAGUGGUCACUUCUCCGCUGAAUCAAGGAAAGACCAGCCUGGUAAAGACAAAGCCAGUGAUCAUUAGCCAGUGUUGUGCCUUAAGCAAUGCCUGAGUAAUUAUACUAAUCAGUUGAUUGAUGCAGGUUCAGUUGGGAAAUACUACAUUUUAAGGAAGUACAACCUUUUAACUUGUGAGCUGAAGUGGGCAGCAUGCCACCGGAAGGAGGACUGGCUUAACUAGAGACGAAUUCUUUGAGCCAUAAGCACAGUGCUGGUCACAGACCAAGUUGGGUCUGUGGAUUCUUGGAGGAUGCAGGGAGGUAAUUGUCAGGUACCAUAGCAAAUACCAGCGAGGUGAUCGUACCCCCUCCUGUGUGCCAAGUCCAGGUUUGGGCAUGUCAGUUCCUUCUACUGAACUUUUUUUCCCCACAAUGCUGCCAUUCAUAUUUAAUCAAAAUUUAUAAGCCCAUGGCUCAGAAACCUGGAGUACUGGCUUCAUCACAUUAAUAGACUCAUGUACAUUGUUGGCUACUCUCUCUUCCUCAGCAGGGAUGAACAACUUGUUUCUGUUUUAAAGCAUGAAGAUAAAACCCAUUACCCACAUUCCAGAAUUACCCUGAUAAGACUAAGUAGAACCACGAAACCUAAAACUGCCAGGUUCAGAAGGAAAUUAGGGAUCACUCCGUAUCUGAAUCUCCAACAUAACACAUCCAACGCAGUGUCCAUCCUAUUCCUUCUUAGAUUAUCUUCAGGCUAGGAACUUUCUGCUUCCCAAGGUGGCCCAUUCUGUGAUUGAUCAGAUUUAGAAACUGAGUGAUUUAAACUUGGACUUAAUUUAUUGGUUCCAUAUAGGAAGGGAUUUACCACAGCAAGAUAACACUCAGCAAAGAUAUUAGGGACUGUGUGUGAUAGGUGACCUCAAUGGAUGCAAUCAGAAUACGUGAUCAGAGACUACACCCCAAACCCCAAGCCAUUUGUUCAUCCUUGGUCAAUAGAGUGAACAGGAAAAUAUUGUACCCUGAGCACACAGUGCCAGGACUAGAGAAAUGUUUAUAAAUGACGGUAUUGAUGACAAAGUUUGUGUGAAAAUCCUUCCUUGGUCACAGAGAAAGAAACUUGAUCUGAUCUCCUUUGAUUUUCGCUUUUAAGGGAACAUGAAAUUCAGGUCAGUAUCACACUUUUCCAGACACAAGAUGGAUAGUUAAUCUCUCCAGCAGCUGGCUUAGUCUUUUCUACAGGGUUCCUUCCUUUUGAACCUAUACUUCAGUUUGAAAAUCAUAGAUUGGGGUACCUAAUACAAUUUUAGAACUGGAAGUUUCCCAGAAGACAUCUCAAUCUGAUUUCUUCAUUUUAAAACCAGGAAACCAAGGUCCAGAGAGAGGCGGUAACUGACGCAAGGUCACAGAGGCCUUUUGAGAUGAAGUCAGAAGUAAAUCACUAGUCUUCCUACUCCUAGUAAAGUGCUCUGCUCUUCCUUGUCAAUGGUGAUAUGAUGAGUAUGUACAAAAAGUGAUAAUCUGUCUAGGGAGCUUUGGGACAGGCACUAUAGAAAGUUCUAUGGACUAGAGGAAGGAGCCAGCCUCUCCUGGUUCCCCAUGUGACAACCUGGCAGUCAAUCCUGCUAACAUACCUUUUAAGAUAUCAGUAUACAACAACCACUACCAAAUAUACUGCAAACACCAUCCAAUUAUAUCUGCAUGCAAAUAUAUCAAAAUUAUCCUUCUCAUCAGAACUGCUCAUUAUGAAGCAUCUACUAUGUUCUAGGCACUUGAUAUAACUUAUUAGCCCAAUCCUUUAUAUACCUUAUUUAGUUCUGUGAGGUUGGUGUUAUUAUGAUUGCUUUUCAUAUGAAUAAACAAAGGCUCAAAAGCCACCUGGCCAGUGUGGCAGAAUCAAGAUUUGGGUCUCAGUCUUCCUGGCUCCAAAGCCUGUACUAUUUUCACCAUAGCCACCAUUCCCUAGAAUAUCCCAAGCCCAUUCCUGGGCUCUGCUGCCCACCAACAAGCCCCAAACAUUUUCUGUGGCUAGUUCUGGUGUGAAAUAAACUUGAGGGUUUGGGGGAAAUUCCUAGACUAUUCAAUUGAGUUAUCUCUUCAGACAACUUGAGAAGUAGCUCCCUCUUUUACUGGUGUGUUCUUUUGUUUAAAGCAUCUUAAAGAAAACAGGGUAGAGAAAGACCCUAGCAUCUGGUGUGGAGUUGCAAUAUUUGAUAGGUAAACAUAAAGAAAUAGAAAUAAUAGCACUUUGAAAAUAUUUAUUCAUUAGUCAUAAUUUUUUAAACUGCUGUUUUUACUAAAACAUGUUUACAGUAAAAGACUAUCUGCAAAAUAUAAAAUCAGAACUUUUUUUUUUCCCUUGAAGUAGAGUUAGGUCCAGGAUCUGGUUAUAAAUUCUUUGCACAAAUAAGUUUUUUCUUUCAUGUAUGUGUUUUUAAAUAUACAUUUGUGGUUUUAAAUAGGAAAGAAAUACAGGGGUUAAAUCAGCAUUUGCCUUAAAAAAAGAAACACCUAUUUUCUAGGUUAGAGUAACAUUUAAAUACCAACAGUAGAUCAUGGAUUCUGAUAGAUGCAAUGGUCUGGUGAAGUGAGGGAAAAUAUAACUGCGUGGCUUUGGUGGAAUUAUUUGACGGCCCCAUUAAAGUCCACAAACAUGGAAAGUCAUGAUCCAUGUGGAGCUCUACUACAAAGGACAAGGACAAUUGUAAGGCAUUUUAGAGAAGCUAGCCCCUAGGCCAGUAAGAGCACUAUCAUCUUAGCAAUGAAGUAAUUAUAAGAUGUAAGAUGUAUGGUUUCUCUCCUACUUCAUACCCACGUGAAAUGUAAGCAUCCUCUCUUCCUUCUAAAAUUCACUAGGGAUUCUUCAGUUCAAACGUACCAUCAGAAUCAAUGGUAGAAGUAUAAUAAAAAUUGCUAACCUUGAGUGAGUGCUUCUAUAAGCCAGACAUGGUUAAAUGUAUGCCUCUUUCAGGUAUUAACUCUUUGGUCUUUACAGCAACUCAGUGAAGGAGUUGUGAUUGUCUGCACUUUCCUAUAUGCACAAAUUUGCAGAGUGGCUCCAGGAGGAAGAUUUCAUGAGAGUGAGGCAGUGACCUUGAGAGCCUGGGAUCUCCCAUCACAGUGCUGCCUGGCCAGCCUCCAGCCCUGGCCAGUGAUGGGGUCUCCAUUCCUCAGUCUGUAGCCCAAGCAGCAAGGGUGAAGUGGAUUGUGACUGUGUCUGGGGAAGUAAGCAGCUGACUUGAGAUCACCCAGUGCGGAGUGGCUGAGCCCAGAUCAUCUGCAAUCACCCACUGAGGCUCUGGACCCCAUUCCCAGCACUUUUCCUCCUGCGUGUAUCUCUGACACCUCCUGAAGUCUCAGCCAGCUCAACGGGAAUACCACCCGCCUGAGCCCAAGCCAUCAGAGAAUGUUUACACUCAUAGAAUCAAGAUAAUAUGAUGGCCUUAACAAGCUAAAGGAAGCUCUCUGCAUCAAUACAGGCACUGUCAGGUGACAUAGUUCCAUAUCACCUCUGUCUGUAAAAUUAAGGUUCCCAGGAGGAAAGGAAAAUUUGGCACUUGUAUAUACCCUAGAGCUUGGUAGAACCAUCCCCAUGAUGGGUGACAGGGUCAAACUUCUGCAUUUUCAAGUCUUUGGAACUCCAUCUGGUUGACCACUAGUUCUGCCCAUCUACAGUGCCCUGAAAUUUGCCAUGCUUGGCAAUGAUCUCAGAGGGAUUUUUGACAUUUUUUUGUGGUCAUUGUUUUUAUGUCUGAGAAAAGAAAAAGCCCUCCUAAUUUGAAUUAUUCUAUACACAUUGUCCAAUAAAAAAGUCAAUGUACAAAAUGUAUUUUAAAAUACCUUAAAAAAUGACUCACCAUGACUAGUAAUUUAAUAAAUAUUUAUUGAAUGCCUACUUCAGGCUACACACAGUUCUAAGCCCUAGAGAGACAAGAGUGGAUCAACACAACAGACAAAAAUCCUUGAGCUCACAAAGUUUAUAUUCUGGUGGGAAGGAAUAGACAAGAAAGACAUGGCUAGGGAGAUGCUACCUGCUAUGCAGAAUACAUUAGGGGGUGGGAGAUAAGCAGCAUGGAUGUACUGCUUAGGGAGGUGAGAUUGGAGCCAAGGUCUGAAGAAAGAAGGACACCCUGUGGGAGGAAGAGUGUCCUAAUGGAGAAAACAUUUGAAAGUCUUAUGCUGGGAGGUGUCCUGGGAACUGUGAAGAGGCCGGUGUAAUUGAAGCAAAGUUCGUGAUGGGGAAAAGGGUAGGAGUUUAGGUCUGACAGGCAGCAGGGGAGUCUGUUGGGUCAGGCAGGCCCUGAAUGGGAUUAUGGCUCUUACUCUUAAGUGAGUCAGGAAGCUGCUGGAGCAUUUUGAGCAGAGGUGUCACAAAAUCUGACUUGAGUUUCAAAUGGAUCACCCUGGCUGCUGUGUGGAAAAGAGACUUGAGAGGUGGGUAUUAUGAGGAGAAGGGAGAUGGAUAAAUAGACCAUUCCAAGAGUUUAAGCCUGAAAUGAUUGUGGCUUGGACCACAAUAGUAUCUACUGUUGGCUUUAAAUAAAGAGAAAUCCCUGGGCCAAAUUUAGGGAUAAUUUAUCUUUAAAGGCUUGAACUGUGGGAGAAAGUUCAGGAAAAUUUAAACUCGAUUUAAAGCUAUGUGGCUGUUUCCACUUCUCUAGGGUAAUGCAAAUAAAUAUUAUCUUUGAUAAGUAUAUAGGCAAUUUCCCCUUCCAAUUUUGGAAAAUAAAGUAAUAUUCCAUAUCACUUCUCCUGGUUCUUCUAGGACUUGGGUCAUGAAAUGGGUCGUGAGUUGAAUAAUUUAGCCAAUUGUUAAAGUGAUAAAAGAAGGAAAAGAAAAUAAUUCUCAGGACUCUAUGGACGUUAACAGCAAAGUGGAAUCUGCGGCAAUCAGAAAAGCUGAAAUUCUCUCAGAAACAUAAAUAUUAUCUUACCAUGUGAAAGAGGCAGGAGAUUCCACUUUGUCCAAGAAAAAACUGACUCUGGAGGGAGAGAAGCUGUCCAAGUGACACAAAAGUUACUAAGUUUGGACUAGAACUUGAUUCUCACUCCAGCAUGUUUCCUCCUCCCUAAAAAAAAGGUUUCCUCAGAAAGAUACUUUGUUGCUAAUAUGUUAGCAGGUUUGAAUUCUAUCAUGAAUGGGUGCACCCUUAAGAAUCCCUGUCUUCUGCAUUUCUCUAGCGCCUAACAGUAACUGGCUCCCAUCCACGUUAUCCUAGCCACACCAUCUUGGUUCCUUAAAUUCCUCUCUCCCUGUCUCACACUCUAUUCUCAUGUAGCCCCAUGGGGAUUCGACUUCUUCUGCUCUGUUUUCCUUGGGGAAUCUGCCUGGCUGGCUUGUACCCUCUCACUCCACAAAGAGGGCGAAGCUAAGCAGAUAACACCUGGAUGUUCAGAUGGGUUGGGAGAACCCCCAAAUUUUAAUGUUUUUUGUUCCUUCACAAAAAGGAGUCACAUUUUCAAGCCUUGGAAUUUCAAUAUAUGGCUUUGUUCCCACUACUUUAUAUGUACUCAUGCAUUAAUUUUCUGAGGAAGGAACACAGUGUGAAUUUGAAUGUCAGAAAAUGCAUAGGAUUCUUUUUAUUAUGUUUAUGAUAACACAAAUUUAGAAGAAAAAAAAAAAAGACGGGAGGAAAAAAAACUUGAAAACAAGGAUUGGACCAGCUCCAAAAGGCACUAGAAAGCUAGACCCAGCUCUAGGACUCAGGGGCUUUGUCACUUUCCUCAAGGUCAUUUUCCUUCAGGGCCUCUACCAUCUGACCUGUGAAAUGAAGGGAAGAGGAGAUUGGGACAUUACUGCCAGCAUCUGUGGGGGGAAUCUCAAAGCUCCCUCCUAAGACUUUACCAGGCAUAUGCCAGACCUUUUCACAUAUCCCCAGGCCAUUUAUGCAGUCCCUUCCUCACCCCACAAUCCCAACAUCCUCCUUCAUAAUCUCAAAUUCUGUGACUCAUAUUCAGAUUAAUACAUAUUUACCGAGAGCUUUUCUUGUGCUCACUGCUGUACUGGGUAUCACAGAGCAAUAAAAAGAGACAUAAGGCAUCCUUUCUUUUCUUAAGGAAAACUAAUUGGAAGAGACACCUUUUUGCAUUAGUGAAAAGUUUGCAUUAUAGAUUUUUUUAAGGAAUAAAGUUUUAGUGUCUCUAUGCACCUUUUGUAAUUUGAAAUAAGCUCAGAAAGAUCUGCUUAGGAAAGCUCUUAGAGGAAUGCUUUAAUUAAUCCGCCAGACUGCUUUGAAAUGAACAAAUCAAGGACUCUUUGUAAAUGAGGGGGUCAGAGACUUGGAAAACAAUCGAUUCUCUUAAAUAUUUGGAACAUUUUUGUCAUAGUUUUACAAUAUUAACCUGUUCUAUUAUGAAAGAAAAAAAAUAACAGUCUGGAGAUUUUCUGAGGGCUCACAUUUUCAGAAUGACUGGAAUCUAAAACCUGAAUGAAAAGUACAAUCCCUCUGCCUGACAUGCCUUGCUCUUUUCUAUUUGUCAAAAUUAUAACUGUCUUUGAAGGUUGAGUCCAAAUAUUGCCUCAUUCAUCACCAUCACUGCCGUCAUCAUCAUCAGCACCCCCCCCCUUUAAAUCUGCAUGGUUGACCACCCUCACUACCUCAGAGCACUCAAAACCUCUCGCUUGCCUCACAGCAAUUUGAGUACCUGACGUCUUUCAUCCUGGACUGGCUUCCUGGAGGAGGGAGUGUGUCUAAUUCACCUGCUCAUACUGUGCCUUGAUCCAUCUGAUAAAGUUGCAGAGGCAUCUUGGAUUUACAACACCCCCUGCCAGCCCCUCACUGAACCACACAUCAUCUGCAGCAGGAGGCGUUGGAUUACAUUUGGCUGGAGCGCCCGCAUCAACUCCAGUUGUCCCUGAAUUGGAACUGAUGGGCCUCACGUGCCACAGCCAACAGUUUGUCUUCACCCACUCCCCUCUCUGGAAUGAACCUUUCUCUGGGAAAACAAGAAACCUACGUGCCAUCCUGGGUGAGAGACAAACAGGAGCUGCAUCCCAGGAUCGCAUCCCCAGUAUGAUGGGUUCCCCACAGCAAGCCACACUUCAAGCAUCUCUGGAAAGACCUUCUGAACCACAGGACACAAAUGCUCCCUCUGGAGGACCGGAGCCUCUGUGUUCCUCUCAGCUCACAGGCAUCCAUUCUUCCUGCAUUCAGGCUCCUUGAGGAAUGCCUUUAGCUCUAGCUAUUGCAAGCUUUUAAGAACUUAUUGGAACACAAAUGCUCAUUUCAAGGAAACAGAUAACAGUUGCAAAUGGAUUAAACGUAAUCCCUGUGCUGGAGCCCUUGAAGGAAAAGAGAUGGGGGUUUCUGGGCUGUGAGAUGAAGCUUGGUCAAGGAUGCUUGCUUUGAGGACUCUGCUCUGAAAACCCAGCACAUGAAGUGGUUCUGCUUCUCUGAUCAAGACGCUUCUGUGAAGCUUCCAAAGUCAAUCAUUUCCAGGCUGUGCACAUCUAUUAAAGCACACAACACACAAUGAUGUACUUCAGAAAUUGAUACGUCUCUCUCAUAGAAAUGGGGAGAGCUGACUUGUAUUGCAUGCUGACUUUGUGCCAGGUACUAUUCUGAGGGCACGGUUAAUUCUUACAACAACUGAGUGAGGAAGGAGAAGACUCGGGAUUCAAAAUCAUGCAGCCUAAUGCAGAGCCAGCACCCUGACCCUCCCUGUGAGAGCUCUUCAAGGAAGCCUUCAGUGGGUUCCCUAUGGUUUAAUGUUUCAUGAAGCUUCUAUAGUCCAGGCUCCAAUCCUGAGAACCCUGAUGUGAAAAACCCUGGAAUGAUCAAAGAGGGAAAGGUGUGUGAAGACCAUCAGAAGUUACAGAACAAACAGUAACAUUUGUGUUCACUCAAAUCUGAAGUCAGAGAGUUGUAAAUUCCUUGUGUGGACAAGGAAGAGUGGCUGUAUCAUACCAAAAAAAUUUUAAAAACAAAUGUAUUUUUUGUUCAAAAAUGUUCUUCCAUUUAUCUGAAAACUGAAACACAUGCUUUUCCAAUAAAAACUAUGCCUUGAUUAGAA